rnacentral:rRNA from 1 species
GUUGAACGCUGGCGGCAGGCCUAACACAUGCAAGUCGAGCGGAGCGGCGGGCGGACGGGUAAUGCCUAGGAAUCUGCCUGGCAGCGUGGGGUGGCGUCAGGAAAGGGGAGCUAAUACCACAUACUAUCAGAUGAGCCUAGGUGGGAUUAGCGAGUUGGUGGGGUAAAGGCCGACCAAGGCGACGAUCCGUAACUGGUCUGAGAGGAUGAUCAGUCACACUGGAACUGAGACACGGCCCAGACUCCUACGGGAGGAAGCAGUGGGGAAUAUUGGACAAUGGGCGAAAGCCUGAUCCAGACAUGCCGCGUGUGUGAGAAAGGUCUUCGGAUUGUAAAGCACUUUAAGUUGGGAGGCGUUACCAACAGAAUAAGCACCGGCUAACUACGUGCCAGCAGCCGCGGUAAUAC